AACGAACGCUGGCGGCGCGCUUAACACAUGCAAGUCGAACGAGAAGGCGUAGCAAUACGCUUGUACAGUGGCGAACGGGUGAGUAAUACGUGGGCGACCUACCCUCGAGUGGGGAAUAACCCGCCGAAAGGCGGGCUAAUGCCGCGUACGCUUCCAUCUUUAUGGAGGUGGAAGGAAAGCCGUGCCGUGGGCACGGCGCUCAAGGAUGGGCUCACGUCCUAUCAGCUUGUUGGUAGGGAACGGCCUACCAAGGCUCCGACGGGUAGCUGGUCUGAGAGGACGAUCAGCCACACUGGCACUGCGACACGGGCCAGACUCCUACGGGAGGCAGCAGUGAGGAAUAUUGCGC
rnacentral:rRNA from 1 species